rnacentral:rRNA from 1 species
UGGCGGCAGGCCUAACACAUGCAAGUCGAGCGGUAACAUUUCUAGCUUGCUAGAAGAUGACGAGCGGCGGACGGGUGAGUAACGCGUAGAAAUCUACCUAGUAGUGGGGGAUAGCCCAGAGAAAUUUGGAUUAAUACCGCAUACGCCCUACGGGGGAAAGCGGGGGAUCUUCGGACCUCGUGCUAUUAGAUGAGUCUGCGUCGGAUUAGCUUGUUGGUGAGGUAAUGGCUCACCAAGGCGACGAUCCGUAGCUGGUCUGAGAGGAUGACCAGCCACACUGGAACUGAGACACGGUCCAGACUCCUACGGGAGGCAGCAGUGGGGAAUAUUGCACAAUGGGCGCAAGCCUGAUGCAGCCAUGCCGCGUGUGUGAAGAAGGCCUUAGGGUUGUAAAGCACUUUCAGCAGUGAGGAAAGGGGUGUCGUUAAUAGCGCCAUCCUGCGACGUUAACUGCAGAAGAAGGACCGGCUAACUCCGUG